ACGUAGGGUGCAGGCGUUAAUCGGAAUUACUGGGCGUAAAGCGUGCGCAGGCGGUUUCUUAAGUCAGAUGUGAAAGCCCCGGGCUUAACCUGGGAACUGCGUUUGAAACUGGGAGACUCGAGUGUGGCAGAGGGGGGUGGAAUUCCACGUGUAGCAGUGAAAUUCGUAGAUAUUCGGAAGAACACCAGUGGCGAAGGCGACUUACUGGACACAUAUUGACGCUGAGGUGCGAAAGCGUGGGGAGCAAACAGGA
rnacentral:rRNA from 1 species